GGCCCUAAAGCUCAUUAGGUAUGAGCACCCGGCUCAUAACCGGGAGGUAGAUAGGUUCGAAUCCUUCUAGGGUCA
rnacentral:tRNA from 1 species